rnacentral:rRNA from 1 species
GACGAACGCUGGCGGCGUGCCUAAUACAUGCAAGUUGAGCGCUGAAGGUUGGUACUUGUACCAACUGGAUGAGCAGCGAACGGGUGAGUAACGCGUGGGGAAUCUGCCUUUGAGCGGGGGACAACAUUUGGAAACGAAUGCUAAUACCGCAUAAAAACUUUAAACACAAGUUUUAAGUUUGAAAGAUGCAAUUACAUCACUCAAAGAUGAUCCCGCGUUGUAUUAGCUAGUUGGUGAGGUAAAGGCUCACCAAGGCGAUGAUACAUAGCCGACCUGAGAGGGUGAUCGGCCACAUUGGGACUGAGAAACGGCCCAAACUCCUACGGGAGGCAGCAGUAGGGAAUCUUCGGCAAUGGACGAAAGUCUGACCGAGCAACGCCGCGUGAGUGAAGAAGGGUUUCGGAUCGUAAAACUCUGUUGGUAGAGAAGAACGUUGGUGAGAGUGGAAAGCUCAUCAAGUGACGGUAACUACCCAGAAAGGGACGGCUAACUACGUG